CGUGCAGGUGGUUCGGUAAGUUGGAUGUGAAAACUCCUGGCUCAACUGGGAGAGGUCGUUCAAAACUACCGGACUUGAGAGCAGUAGAGGGAGGUGGAAUUCCCGGUGUAGUGGUGAAAUGCGUAGAUAUCGGGAGGAACACCAGUGGCGAAAGCGGCCUCCUGGACUGUUUCUGACACUCAGACGCGAAAGGCUAGGGUAGCAAACGGGAUUAGAGACCCCGGUAGUCCUAGCUGUAAACGAUGUGAACUUGGCGUCGGCGGGUUCAAAGCCGUCGGUGCCGAAGCCAACGCGAUAAGUUCACCGCCUGGGGACUACGGCCGCAAGGUUAA
rnacentral:rRNA from 1 species